rnacentral:lncRNA from 1 species
AUGGGUGGCACUGGGGACAUGGGACACCCAUGGGUGACACAGGGUGCCCAUGGGUGGCACUGGGGGCAUGGGACACCCAUGGGUGGCACUGGGGACAUGGGGCACCCAUGGGUGGUGCUGGGGGCAUGGGACACCCAUAGGUGGCUACAGGGACGUGGGGCACCCAUGGGCGGCACUGGGUGCCCAUGGGUGGCACUGGGGGCAUGGGGUGCUUGUGGGUGGCACUGGGGUACUCAUGGGUGGCACUGGGGACAUGGGACACCCAUGGGUGGCACUGGGGACGUGAGACACCCAUGGGUGGCACUGGGGACACGGGGUGCCCAUGGGUGGCACUGGGGAUAUGGGGUGCUUGUGGGUGGCACCGGGGACAUGGGGCACCCAUGGGUGGUGCUGGGGACAUGGGGCACCCAUAGGUGGCUACAGGGACGUGGGGCACCCGUGGGUGGCACGGGGGGCGUGGGGUGCUCGUGGGUGACACAAGGGACAUGGGACACCCACGGCUGUCACCAGGAACAAGGGGACACCCAUGGGUGCCACCACCUCCCGCUGGCCAUCCCCACGCCCCCCCCCCCAGCCCCAAUCCCCCCCCCACGCUUUCUGUCCCCCCCCCAGAACCUCCUGAGCCUGGCACCCCUCAAGAAGAAGCCCCCCCCGUCGCCCCCCGUGGACGUGGAGCUGGCCCUGCCCAAGCUGGCCCUGCUGCCCCCCCGGGGGGGGGCAGGCACCGAGCCCCCCCCCGCCACCCCGUCGCCCCCCCGCGUGGUGCCCGAAGCCCCCCGGCCGCAGCGGGUGACGGUGAGGGAGGCGGCGGCGGCGCUGGAGGUGGCACUGCCGGGGACCCUCACCGAGCCCGGGGGGGGGACACCGGAGCCGGGGGGGGGGCCCCGCUUGCCCGCCGUGGAGGUGGCGGUCCCCAAAGUGGGGGUGCCCAAAGUGGGGGUGCCCAAAGUGGGGGUCCCCAAGGUGGCGGUCCCCAAGGUGGGGCUGGGCGCCCCCCCGCCCAAGGAGGUGACCCCGGUGGCACCGGUGGCACCAGUGCUGGCCAUCGCCGUCCCCAAGGUCGAGGUGGGUUUGGCGCUGCCCAAAGCUGGCGCCCAAGGGAAAUUGCCCAAAUUGGGCCUUUCUUGCCCCAAAACGCCUGCCGAGGGCGGCGAAGGGCCCAAAAUGCCCGGCCUGGAGGUGGCCGCCCCCGCGGUGGCCCUGGAGGUGGCUUUGGGGAGCGGGGGGGACGCGGGCGUCCCCGAGGCCAAACCCCCCAAAUUGGCCCCCCCCAAAGUGAAGGGGGGCAAAUUGGCCCCCCCCGGGGGCUGGGAGCUGGGGGGGUGGCGGUGGGGGGGGGCGAGGCUGCCCCAAUUCGGGGGCUCGACCCCCGACAUCCGCAGCGGGGGGGUCCCCAAAGCGAGGCCGGCGGGGCGGGGGGGCAGCGCCGAGAGCUUGCUGGGG